UGAAAGAAGCAAGUCAUAUACACCUAGGAUGCCUCAAGGGACGUGUCCAGGACGGCAACCUCGUUCUUAAUUUAUGUGACCUUGUGAAGCCUUGGAAAGAACUCUCCCAAACUCAAAAGAUGUACCUCCGCAUGUAUCAUGACGGCUGUGUCUGUGAGAUCUCUCCCUGUACUGGAGCGUCCUGUUUGACCGAGAUGGUUCAGAAAAAAUGUCUGAUAAGAGCCAAAGAUUUAUUCACUUUUGAUGAUGACGAGGCUCUUCAGUCUAUUUGCCUGCCAGAGAGUGCUGGUGCCGAUGUCUGUAAAUGGCGAAUAAUUCUUAAUUAACUACAAAUGCUCCUAAAAAUUAUGCCCUGAAGAACAAGUGCACCAGCCAUUUGCAGUGUGUGUGUUUGCCCUUUUAUUCUCCAGAAUGCUUAGCAUUUUGAAAUAAAUUUAAACAAUUUAAUGAAGCUUUGCAAUGCAGUCAGGAAAUACAUACAAAACACUGUUUUCAUGGAUGCAAUCAACCAUUAAACUAUUUUGCAUGUAAAA